rnacentral:lncRNA from 1 species
AUUUUCCAGUUUUGUAGUUUUGUGAUUUUGAAGUUGCAAAAAAUUGAUUCCAGCUUGUUGCUUGUCUCACUAUUUGACCUUCGAUCCAAUACAUCAAUUGUCAAACAAAAAUUCAGGGUAGAAUUCUUAUCCUUCCACUUCAUCUACUUUUCCCACUCCAUAGCUUUCCCUCUUUCUCCAUUACCAUCCACAACCAUUUCUACACUCCAUUUUUGCAUCAAACUUCUAAAAUACGAAAAAGUCUCAAGUUUUCAACAAUCCAUAGUCUGCAAAAUAUAUCCGUC